GGGGCUUCGCUGGCGGGUGACCAGGGCCUCGCGCAGUGACGGUUGGGGUGGUCUGUCCGGGUCCGGGGUCGGGCCUCAGUGACAGAGAGAGCUGCUGAGCAGCGCCAGGAGGGCAGCGCCAGACAGGGAGCAGCUUUCGGGAACUCAGCACCGAUGCCGCCCGCACCAGCUGCCUUGCUGUUGUCAAGGCGCCUCCGUGCGGAGCCCACCUUCUCACCACUGGAUUGGGUCAUUAAAGGCCUUCAAUCUGACCCACGCCUCCCACCAGCUCUUCUCCAACCCGGAUAGACAGACCUCUGCAACUGCCCGUGUGGUCAGAUGCCAACUCCACGUAACGCUCCCUCCAGACCCCAAGGACACCGACAUGGGUCUGUUGUACAACACCGGACUUGAUCAAUGCUGCUACAAGCCCAGAGGGGCCCCUCCGGCCAUGGCCGGCAGACUUCAGCCAGGGAAAGAAAGAUUUGGGAUGGUUUAUGUUCUCAUUAGGUGAUAGAAAUAAGGAAGGCCUUUUCGGCCAUUUGAUUGUAUAUAACCAGAAUGCCCACCCUAUGGUCUUUCCAUUACAAAAUCGAGCUGUUUCCCAUUUUCCUUUGGUGAGUUUCAGUUGCCACUGGGAAUUAAUUCUCCACCAGACCAGGACUUAUUUGAUCGAAAAUAUCCUUUAAUAAACAAUUUUCGGUGACAAA